rnacentral:rRNA from 1 species
CCUACGGGAGGCAGCAGUGAGGAAUAUUGGUCAAUGGACGAGAGUCUGAACCAGCCAAGUAGCGUGAAGGAUGACUGCCCUAUGGGUUGUAAACUUCUUUUAUAUGGGAAUAAAAUGUUCCACGUGUGGGAUUUUGUAUUUACAAUAUGAAUAAGGAUCGGCUAACUCCGUGCCAGCAGCCGCGGUAAUACGGAGGAUCCGAGCGUUAUCCGGAUUUAUUGGGUUUAAAGGGAGCGUAGGUGGAUUGUUAAGUCAGUUGUGAAAGUUUGCGGCUCAACCGUAAAAUUGCAGUUGAAACUGGCAGUCUUGAGUACAGUAGAGGUGGGCGGAAGUCGUGGUGUAGCGGUGAAAUGCUUAGAUAUCACGAAGAACUCCGAUUGCGAAGGCAGUUCACUGGACUGCAACUGACACUGAGGCUCGAAAGUGUGGGUAUCAAACAGGAGUAGAUACCCUAGUAGUC